rnacentral:misc_RNA from 1 species
UGUCCAUCCCCCAAGCCUGCACAG